rnacentral:snoRNA from 1 species
UGGAUCAGUGAAGAGAAUAUGUCUUAAACCAAGUCUUAUGAUUAUUACAUGUUGGUGCCCUUAAGGGCCAGG